ensembl:lncRNA
CCUGUAUGAAUCCUUCUUUGUUUUCUGGCUCAAAGCUUGCUUCCUGAGUUAUUUCUUGUGAUAAGACUCUAGGACAUGAGAGGUGGAUGCUGCCCUGUGGCAAUCAACAUCACUAUCUGGACAAUUUACAUUUGAAAGCAUUUCUUUGGAGCUGUUUGCCUCCAGUCCAAGAGUCAAGGGAAUGCUCGGGGCUGUUUACUGGACUGUUUACUGGCAGAAGAUCUGUACUGUGACCAAAGUCUGCUAUGGGAGAUUGGGGGAUGAUACCAUCGUAUCUUGUGAAGGCAAGAUACUAGUUGGUGUCUCCAUACUCCCUCUUAUCUCCUGGCAAGGCCAGGGAGAUAGGAACAAAAAGAGUUCCUGCUGAGAUCCAAAAGCCUGAAAUUGUCAUUCCAAAAGGCUGACUCAACCACUUUGGACUUAUAAAUAAGUUUGUGCUGCCAUCAUCAUCAUCAUUGUCGUCAUCACAGUGGUCACCGUCCUCAUCAAUGGAACAAUGCCCAACAGCCCACCUCUACUGAAGAGCAACGACUGAACUAUGAACCACACUGGACCCAUGCUGAAUCAAAUUAUGAAGAAUCCUACCUGAUUGAUACCUGCCCACAGUUUUACAACGUCAGAUCUGCUCACAUUUAGAGAACGUUUCACACAAGGUUUAAUGAGACAAAAUAAAGACCAUCAUUUCACUCUGCUGUUUCUCCUGAAGGAAAACAUCUCUAAUGCUCUAAGGUACCUUGCAGCUACAUUUUUUGCAACGCUAAAAUACAGAGCUCAGAGAAAAGAACUCUAAAACAUUUUAUUAUUUGUGUCAACAAACACUAUAGUAUAUCAACGGAUGCUGUACAUACAUUGGGAGUGUACAGUGCUUCGAGCUUAUUACCUCACAAGGCUCAAAAGAGGAUAUACCCGUGUCAACAGUGUAAGGGCUGGUUUGGCCUUGUUCUGUGACUAGUGGGGUGGAGGGAUUUCACAAAAUCCGUGCCUCCAGAAAGGGGAAACAGGGGACCCCAAAAUAAUUACAAAAAACAGCGGCAGUGAUCUGAGGCGAAAAAAACUGAUUUACUAAAUACAGCAUCGGAACACGAGAUAACACACUGUAAUACAAUAUAAUUAGAAUUGAAGCAAAUAAAUCAAAUAUAAUGAAAGAAAGAGUAUCUGAGAGCUGUAGGCCUUACAGUAGCACUGAGGUGAUGUGUGCAGUCGGGAUGAACAACAGGGAGGAGAGUCGAAGGAAGGAAGGGACAUCAGGUGACCUUUCUAGGUGUUUUAUCUCCUCUCUGUUAUCUCCCCUCACACCCCAGGGGACUGCAAAGCCCCCUGGGAUAUGUAGUUCUCUUCCAAACAAGUGUCCAGAACUGGUGCAUUAACUCUUUAACUCCCA